CAGUAGCCGCGGGAAUACAUAGGGUGCGAGCGUUAAUCGGAUUUACUGGGCGUAAAGCGUGCGUAGGCGGCUUUUUAAGUCGGAUGUGAAAUCCCUGAGCUUAACUUAGGAAUUGCAUUCGAUACUGGGAAGCUAGAGUAUGGGAGAGGAUGGUAGAAUUCCAGGUGUAGCGGUGAAAUGCGUAGAGAUCUGGAGGAAUACCGAUGGCGAAGGCAGCCAUCUGGCCUAAUACUGACGCUGAGGUACGAAAGCAUGGGGAGCAAACAGGAUUAGAUACCCGAGUAGUCCCUGUCUCUUAUAC
rnacentral:rRNA from 1 species